AUUAAAUUGAUAUGCCAAACUAAUUCUAAUAGUCUUCUAAUUCUAGCAGUAUUUUUAUUUUUGUAUUUACAUAUUUAAGAGGCCGUCCUACAUGUGACUGAAGAAUGCAAGAGCCAUGAACUUAUCAAUGGCAGGUCUCAAGUGUGCAACUCACUGAAAUUAAUCAUAGUAUCAAAAUCAUAAAUGAUUUACUCACUGCUGUUUCAACUCCAUAAUCAAGACAUGCUCUGAGGAGUCCACAA